CUGUACCUACGGGGGGCAGCAGUGGGGAAUAUUGGGCAAUGGGCGCAAGCCUGACCCAGCAACGCCGCGUGAAGGAAGAAGGCUUUCGGGUUGUAAACUUCUUUUCUCAGGGACGAAGCAAGUGACGGUACCUGAGGAAUAAGCCACGGCUAACUACGUGCCAGCAGCCGCGGUAAUACGUAGGUGGCAAGCGUUAUCCGGAUUUACUGGGUGUAAAGGGAGCGUAGACGGCAGCACAAGUCUGGAGUGAAAUCCCGGGGCUUAACCCCGGAACUGCUUUGGAAACUGUGCGGCUGGAGUGCAGG
rnacentral:rRNA from 1 species